GGGCUAUUAGCUCAGUUGGUUAGAGCACACCCCUGAUAAGGGUGAGGCCCCAGGUUCAAAUCCUGGAUAGCCCA
rnacentral:tRNA from 1 species